rnacentral:rRNA from 1 species
UUUCCGUAGGGUAACCUGCGGAGGGAUCAUUACACAAAUAUGAAGGCGGGCUGGAACCUCUCGGGGUUACAGCCUUGCUGAAUUAUUCACCCUUGUCUUUUGCGUACUUCUUGUUUCCUUGGUGGGUUCGCCCACCACUAGGACAAACAUAAACCUUUUGUAAUUGCAAUCAGCGUCAGUAACAAAUUAAUAAUUACAACUUUCAACAACGGAUCUCUUGGUUCUGGCAUCGAUGAAGAACGCAGCGAAAUGCGAUAAGUAGUGUGAAUUGCAGAAUUCAGUGAAUCAUCGAAUCUUUGAACGCACAUUGCGCCCUUUGGUAUUCCAAAGGGCAUGCCUGUUCGAGCGUCAUUUGUACCCUCAAGCUUUGCUUGGUGUUGGGCGUCUUGUCUCUAGCUUUGCUGGAGACUCGCCUUAAAGUAAUUGGCAGCCGGCCUACUGGUUUCGGAGCGCAGCACAAGUCGCACUCUCUAUCAGCAAAGGUCUAGCAUCCAUUAAGCCUUUUUUUCAACUUUUGACCUCGGAUCAGGUAGGGAUACCCGCUGAACUUAAGCAUAUCAAUAAGCGGA